AUUGAACGCUGGCGGCAGGCCUAACACAUGCAAGUCGAGCGGAGCGGCGGACGGGUGAGUCAUGCCUAGGACUCAGCCUGGUAGUGGGGGAUAACGUCCGGAAACGGGCGCUAAUCCCGCAUCCUAUCAGAUGAGCCUAGGUCGGAGUAGCUAGUUGGUGGGGUAAAGGCCUACCAAGGCGACGAUCCGUAACUGGUCUGAGAGGAUGCUCAGUCACACGGGAACUGGGACACGGUCCAGUCGCCUACGGGAGGCAGCAGUGGGGAAUAUUGGACAAUGGGCGAAAGCCUGAUCCAGCCAUGCCGCGGGUGUGAAGAAGGUUUUCGGAUUGUAAAGCCCUUUAAGUUGGGAGGCGUUACCAACAGAAUACGCACCGGCUAACUUCGUGCCAGCAGCCGCGGUAAUAC
rnacentral:rRNA from 1 species